CUUUGCCAGGUAUGUGUGGACAUCGGAGGGGCACAUUUGGGACACAGUCAUUCCAGUUUUUUUCAAACUUUGAAUUUUUAUGCUGUGCCUAUGUCCCAUUUUAGAGUAUUUUACCAGGCUAUAUAAUCCAAAUUCCCCAUAAAGCCAUACCAUUUCUUAAAGACGACAUCCCAGGGUAUUUCAAAAGGCAUAUUUUGAACCUUAGCGUGGGAUCAUUUUUCCGCUAGCUUGUACCAAGUGUAGUGGUAAUAAGCAUUUUUUCUGCCUUUUUGACAUACAAAGUGAGU
rnacentral:lncRNA from 1 species